UCGAGCGAACUUGCGGGAGCUUGCUCCCAAAAGUUAGCGGCGGACGGGUGAGUAACACGUGGGCAACCUGCCUAUAAGACUGGGAUAACUUCGGGAAACCGGAGCUAAUACCGGAUAAUUCUUUUCUACACAUGUGGAAAGGCUAAAAGACGGCUUACGCUGUCGCUUAUAGAUGGGCCCGCGGCGCAUUAGCUAGUUGGUGAGGUAACGGCUCACCAAGGCUACGAUGCGUAGCCGACCUGAGAGGGUGAUCGGCCACACUGGGACUGAGACACGGCCCAGACUCCUACGGGAGGCAGCAGUAGGGAAUCUUCCGCAAUGGACGAAAGUCUGACGGAGCAACGCCGCGUGAGUGAUGAAGGUUUUCGGAUCGUAAAACUCUGUUGUUAGGGAAGAAUAAGUACGAGAGUAACUGCUCGUACCUUGACGGUACCUAACCAGAAAGCCACGGCUAACUACGUGCCAGCAGCCGCGGUAAUACGUAGGUGGCAAGCGUUGUCCGGAAUUAUUGGGCGUAAAGCGCGCGCAGGCGGUCCUUUAAGUCUGAUGUGAAAGCCCACGGCUCAACCGUGGAGGGUCAUUGGAAACUGGGGGACUUGAGUGCAGGAGAGAAGAGUGGAAUUCCACGUGUAGCGGUGAAAUGCGUAGAGAUGUGGAGGAACACCAGUGGCGAAGGCGACUCUUUGGCCUGUAACUGACGCUGAGGCGCGAAAGCGUGGGGAGCAACAGGAUUAGAUACCCUGGUAGUCCACGCCGUA
rnacentral:rRNA from 1 species